rnacentral:rRNA from 1 species
GAGUUUGAUCCUGGCUCAGGACGAACGCUGGCGGCACGCCUAACACAUGCAAGUCGAACGGUGAAGGGGGAGCUUGCUCCUCCGGAACAGUGGCGGACGGGUGAGUAACACGUGAGCAACCUGCCUUUCAGAGGGGGACAACAGUUGGAAACGACUGCUAAUACCGCAUAAUGUAUUUUGGCGGCAUCGCCGGAAUACCAAAGGAGCAAUCCGCUGAAAGAUGGGCUCGCGUCUGAUUAGAUAGUUGGUGAGGUAACGGCUCACCAAGUCGACGAUCAGUAGCCGGACUGAGAGGUUGAACGGCCACAUUGGGACUGAGACACGGCCCAGACUCCUACGGGAGGCAGCAGUGGGGGAUAUUGGACAAUGGGGGAAACCCUGAUCCAGCGAUGCCGCGUGAGGGAAGAAGGUUUUCGGAUUGUAAACCUCUGUGGAGGGGGACGAUAAUGACGGUACCCCUUUAGGAAGCCACGGCUAACUACGUGCCAGCAGCCGCGGUAAUACGUAGGUGGCGAGCGUUGUCCGGAAUUACUGGGUGUAAAGGGAGUGUAGGCGGGAAAGCAAGUCAGAAGUGAAAACUAUGGGCUUAACCCAUAGCCUGCUUUUGAAACUGUUUUUCUUGAGUGAAGUAGAGGCAAGCGGAAUUCCUAGUGUAGCGGUGAAAUGCGUAGAUAUUAGGAGGAACACCAGUGGCGAAGGCGGCUUGCUGGGCUUU